CGACUGUCUUUUGAAAAUUUAUUUUCGUUUCUUUUCUUUUUUGUUUACUGCUUUAUUAUAGACCACCAUGGAUACAGUUGAAGCUACGAAAAUGGUGAUGUCAAGGAUCCAAAAAUUAGAUCCAGAAAAUGCUUCGAAAAUCAUGGGAUAUAUACUCAUUCAAGACCAGGGAGAUAAUGAGAUGAUAAGGUUGGCUUUUGGCCCUGAAAAUCUUCUUCUUUCUGUUAUAAAACAAGCCAAAUCUUUCUUGGACAUUUCGUCGAACACUUCUUCUGCACCUUCUUCUACCACUCCUUCACUGUUUAUCCAUCGAAAUUCCCCUCAAAUCGUCAUUCCGAAUAAUGGGUUUCAUCACAUGAACCCUCCUUCUCCUAGUUCGCCUUGGUCGUUAUCUGGGUCUUUUCCCGAUCAUCAUCUUCACCGUGGUAGCCCUCGUCCGGUUUCUUACGCCGCCGUGGUUAACGGUGGUGGUUCGUCUGCUUCUUCGUUUUACAACAAUUUUAACGAUCCCACCGACGAGUAUAGUACUAACAACGGACUACAAGUUGUUUCCGAUCAGCUUUCGUUCUUUGACGAAUCUAAAAAUGUCGACUUCAUCGACCCAAUGGUGAGCCCCGGUGGUCGGAGCGACUCGGUUCUUUUCCCUUACCCUAACGAUACUUCAAAUUGGCCUAUGGUAUCUGGUAACUGUGGAGACGCUCAUCACCACCAUUUACACCGGCGGAGUUGCUCCGUUAACGACGUUUUUCUCGGCGGUGGUGGUGGUGGAAAUGAUGAUAUGGGUGGUGGUGGUGGGUUUGGUGGCUGGAGACCUUGCAUGUAUUUCGCUCGAGGGUUUUGUAAAAACGGCACUUCUUGCAAGUUCGUUCAUGGCGGUUUUGGAGACGAAAUCGGGUUGAAUCCAUCUUCACCCACUGCCGUCGCCGGUUCUCCCACCGGAAAGAUUGAUUCUUUUGACGAUUUGCUUAGAAUUAAAGCCAUUCAACAACAACAGCAACGAAUUGCCGCCAUGGCUGGAGGUGGAGUUCCUCCUUUUCCUUUCAACAGGUGCAUGAACUUUCUCAAUGAGAAUCCUAGAUCAGCAGCUGCAUUGAUGAUGGGAGACGAAUUUCAUAAGUUCAGUCGUUGUCGGCCUGAUCGGAACGAUUUUGCAGCGAUGGGGUUGGGGAAUUCGAAUUCGAGUUCCCGACAAAUUUACUUGACGUUUCCAGCUGAUAGUACUUUUAAAGAAGAAGAUGUUUCGAAUUACUUCAGCAUGUUUGGACCGGUUCAAGAUGUUCGGAUUCCGUAUCAGCAGAAACGAAUGUUCGGGUUUGUUACAUUUAUGCUCCCCGAGACCGUGAAGGCGAUUUUGGCCAAAGGGAAUCCACAUUUUGUAUGCGAUUCGCGGGUGCUUGUUAAGCCGUACAAGGAGAAGGGAAAAAUCCCAGACAAGAAGCAUCAGCAACAAAUGGAAAGAGGGGAUUUUUCGGGUUGUUUGAGUCCAACUGCGCUUGAAUCUGCCGAGCCAUUUGAUCACAUACCGUUUGGCGCCAGAAUGUUUAAUCAGGAGAUGAUUUUGAGAAGAAAAUUAGAGGAGCGGGCCGAAUUACAGCAGGCGAUGGAAUUCCAGGAUCGAAGGUUGAUGAACCUGCAGCUGUCGGAUCUCAAAAAUCAUCAUUUCCACCCGAAUUUAUCCGUUUCUUCACCAACUCAAUCUUGUGCUCAGAUAAAUCAAAAUCUCCUGUUUUCAUCUGAUGGCAACAAUGAAGAACUUGUUUCUGGAGCAAAAAUUAGCACCCACGAUAGCAUGAAUUCUCUGAGUGACGAGUCUGAUCCCAACGUGCCACCAGAAGUGAAAGUCAACGAUGGGAAUAGCGGCAGCAACGGAACUGGGAAGGAAGAGAUUUCCGAUCAGAACGAAACUGAUAAGCAUGAAAGCAGUUUAGAGCACAUCCUUCCUGAUAACUUGUUUGCUUCACCUAAAAAGUCGGCUGCCAUCGACAACCAGACUAUCUUUUCAACCGAUAUGCCGGAAACCGAUGACAGUGCUGCAACGGCUUCGUCUUUGUCUGCCGCUAACGAUAUCCAGGUGCUACCCACCACUUCAACCCCACUUGAAAUGCUGGCUUCUCUCAAUUCAUGUUACUUCCAAAUGCCAAGAAGCCAUUAAAAUGUAGGUGAUUUUAGGUUGUGCAACGCUGACCAUGGAGCAUUUUUACUUUGCUUGAAAAAUGGAAGAGUAGGAAAGAUGCUGUGGCUCAAAACACCAUCAACAGCAACAGCAACAGCAACAACAAAAAGCCAAAAAAGAAAAAGGAAAAGAUGUGUUCAAGAUUAUUGUCAUCUUCAAUACCUCCCCUCCCUCCCCAUACUACUUACAAACUAUACAUAAUAUGCAGAAAUACAUAAAAAGGAACAAGGAUAGAUGAACUGAUUUUAUGGGAGUAGGGUCUCCUUGUUUGUUAACUUUUGUACCCUUUCCCUUACCUUCAACUGUGUGCUGGACCCACCAAAAAACACUCAUUCAACCAUGCAUAUAACAAACCAAAAGAAAAAGGGUAGUGGUUAGCAACUUUUUUUCUUCAUUUCACUUGAACCAUUCUAUGGCCAAAUCUAUUGUAUGGUACAAGUUUUAAUCCUUAAGAUACAACUACAACACC